rnacentral:rRNA from 1 species
UACAGAGGGUGCAAGUGUUGUUCGGAAUCAUUGGGCGUAAAGGGCGCGUAGGCGGUUAGAUAAGUCAGAUGUGAAAGCCCUGGGCUUAACCCAGGAAAUGCAUUUGAUACUGUCUAGCUAGAGUUCGGGAGAGGAUAGUGGAAUUCCCGGUGUAGAGGUGAAAUUCGUAGAGAUCGGGAGGAACACCAGUGGCGAGAGCGGCUAUCUGGCCCGCAACUGACGCUGAGGCGCGAGAGCGUGGGGAGCAAACAGG